rnacentral:rRNA from 1 species
ACGGGAGGCAGCAGUGAGGAAUAUUGGUCAAUGGGCGGAAGCCUGAACCAGCCAAGUCGCGUGAAGGAUGAAGGUAUUAUGUAUUGUAAACUUCUUUUGACGCAGGGCAAUAAGGCGUACGUGUACGCCGAUGAGAGUAUGCGUCGAAUAAGCAUCGGCUAACUCCGUGCCAGCAGCCGCGGUAAUACGGAGGAUGCAAGCGUUAUCCGGAUUUAUUGGGUUUAAAGGGUGCGUAGGCGGAUGAUUAAGUCAGUGGUGAAAGGUCCCGGCUCAACCGGGGAGCUGCCAUUGAUACUGGUCGUCUUGAAUGCGGAUGCCGUGGGAGGAAUGUGUGGUGUAGCGGUGAAAUGCAUAGAUAUCACACAGAACACCGAUUGCGAAGGCAUCUCACGAAUCCGUUAUUGACGCUGAGGCACGAAAGCGUGGGGAUCAAACAGGAUUAGAUACCCUGGUA